rnacentral:rRNA from 1 species
UUACGGGAGGCAGCAGUGGGGAAUAUUGGACAAUGGGCGCAAGCCUGAUCCAGCCAUGCCGCGUGAAUGAUGAAGGCCUUAGGGUUGUAAAAUUCUUUCAACGGUGAAGAUAAUGACGGUACCCGUAGAAGAAGCCCCGGCUAACUUCGUGCCAGCAGCCGCGGUAAUACGAAGGGGGCUAGCGUUUUUCGGAAUUACUGGGCGUAAAGCGCACGUAGGCGGGNUGAUUAGUUGGUGGUGAAAUCCCAGAGCUCAACUCNGGAACUGCCAUCAAUACUGUCAGCCUGGAGCAUAGUAGAGGUUAGUGGAAUUCCAAGUGUAGAGGUGAAAUUCGUAGAUAUUUGGAGGAACACCAGUGGCGAAGGCGACUGACUGGGCUAUUGCUGACGCUGAGGUGCGAAAGCGUGGGGAGCAAACAGGAUUAGAUACCCCUGGUAGUCCACGCCGUAAACGAUGAAUGUCUAGUUGUUGGUAAGUUUACUUAUUCAGUGACCGCAGUUAACACAUUAAGCAUCCCGCCUGGA